AGUGAACGCUGGCGGUAGGCCUAACACAUGCAAGUCGAACGGCAGCACAGUAAGAGCUUGCUCUUACGGGUGGCGAGUGGCGGACGGGUGAGGAAUACAUCGGAAUCUACUUUUUCGUGGGGGAUAACGUAGGGAAACUUACGCUAAUACCGCAUACGACCUACGGGUGAAAGCAGGGGAUCUUCGGACCUUGCGCGAUUGAAUGAGCCGAUGUCGGAUUAGCUAGUUGGCGGGGUAAAGGCCCACCAAGGCGACGAUCCGUAGCUGGUCUGAGAGGAUGAUCAGCCACACUGGAACUGAGACACGGUCCAGACUCCUACGGGAGGCAGCAGUGGGGAAUAUUGGACAAUGGGCGCAAGCCUCAUCCAGCCAUACCGCGUGGGUGAAGAAGGCCUUCGGGUUGUAAAGCCCUUUUGUUGGGAAAGAAAAGCAGCAGGUUAAUACCCCGCCGUUCUGACGGUACCCAAAGAAUAAGCACCGGCUAACUUCGUG
rnacentral:rRNA from 1 species